rnacentral:rRNA from 1 species
CCUACGGGAGGCAGCAGUGGGGGAUAUUGGACAAUGGGGGGAACCCUGAUCCAGCGACGCCGCGUGAGUGAAGAAGUAUUUCGGUAUGUAAAGCUCUGUCAGCAGGGAAGAAAGAAAUGACGGUACCUGACCAAGAAGCCCCGGCUAACUACGUGCCAGCAGCCGCGGUAAUACGGAGGGGGCAAGCGUUAUCCGGAAUUACUGGGUGUAAAGGGAGCGUAGACGGUUAAGUAAGUCUGGAGUGAAAGGCCGGGGCCCAACCCCGGGACUGCUCUGGAUACUAUUGCACUAGAGUGCAGGAGGGGGAAGCGGAAUGCCUAGUGUAGCGGUGAAAUGCGUAGAUAUUGGGAGGAACACCAGUGGCGAAGGCGGCUUACUGGACUGUAACUGACGUUGAGGCUCGAAAGCGUGGGGAGCGAACAGGAUUAGAUACCCCUGUAGUC